rnacentral:lncRNA from 1 species
CUCCUGAGUAGCUGGGAUUACAGGCGCCCACCACCACGCCUGGCUAAUUUUUGUAUUUUUAGUAGAGGCAAGGUUUCACCAGGCUGGCCAGGCUGGUCUCGAACUCUUGACCUCAAGUGAUCUGCCCACCUCAGCCUCUCAGUGCUGGGAUUACAUGUGUAAGCCACUGCACCCAGCCUGUUGUUUUAAUUUUUACUUUUUGUAGAGAUGAGGUCUUGCUAUGUUGCCCAGGCUGGUCUUGAACUCAUGGCUGCAAACGAUUCUCCCAUUUCAGCCUCCCAAAGUGUUGGGAUUGUAGACGUGAGCUACAGUGCCUGGCCCUAAAUUUUUAAAAUGCAGUUAAAAUUCGUUUCCAUGUAUUUACAAACAACUUCAAAUAAGAUAAAAUUGUUUUCCCUAGAUUUGAAAAACUUAGGGUACAUACCCUUGCAAAUUUCAGUUUCUAAUACCGAUUUUGCAUGUGGUUAGAGAUUUAGUUUUUGGAAUAAAGAACGCAGUGAGGGAGGCCAGGUGC